rnacentral:other from 1 species
CGCCCCCUGCGGUGUGCGUGGCGUUUCAGAAACCCUCUGAACCUAUAGCGAAACGCUUGGGAGCCGAAGCCGGAAGCCGGUGUGCAUGCCCACCCUCGAGCGGGAAGCCUGAAGGCCUCCCUGAGGCGCCCACUUGAACCACUCGGUUCAAGGAUCACGAAACGUCACGGCAUUCGCGGAGGGCGU